rnacentral:rRNA from 1 species
UACGAAGGGGGCUAGCGUUGCUCGGAAUCACUGGGCGUAAAGGGUGCGUAGGCGGGUCUUUUAAGUCAGGGGUGAAAUCCUGGAGCUCAACUCCAGAACUGCCUUUGAUACUGAAGAUCUUGAGUUCGGGAGAGGUGAGUGGAACUGCGAGUGUAGAGGUGAAAUUCGUAGAUAUUCGCAAGAACACCAGUGGCGAAGGCGGCUCACUGGCCCGAUACUGACGCUGAGGCACGAGAGCGUGGGGAGCAAACAGGG